UACGAAGGGGGCUAGCGUUGCUCGGAAUUACUGGGCGUAAAGGGCGCGUAGGCGGCACUGUUAGUCAGGCGUGAAAGUCCUGGGCUCAACCUGGGAACUGCGCUUGAUACGGCAGAGCUAGAGGAUGGAAGAGGGUCGCGGAAUUCCCAGUGUAGAGGUGAAAUUCGUAGAUAUUGGGAAGAACACCGGUGGCGAAGGCGGCGACCUGGUCCAUUACUGACGCUGAGGAGCGAAAGCGUGGGGAGCAAACAGG
rnacentral:rRNA from 1 species